CGUUCGCGGCUGCAGGUGCCGAAAGGCCGCAGGUGAGGAAAGUCCGGGCUUCACAGGGCAGGAUGCCGGAUAACGUCCGGUGGAGGUGACUCCAAGGAAAGUGCAACAGAAAUAAACCGCCUGUCAUAUGACAGGUAAGGGUGGAAAGGCAGUGUAAGAGACUACCGCCCGUCUGGUAACAGAAGGGGCACAUGUAAACCCCAUCCGAAGCAAGACCGAAUCAAAACGAUGUGGCGGCCCGUCACGUUUUAGGUAGGUCGCUUGAACCUGCUGGCGACAGCAGGUCUGGAUAGAUGAACGUCCAACGACAUAACCCGGCUUAUCGUUUUGCUUG
rnacentral:RNase_P_RNA from 1 species